GUAGUCUCGGCCCUAAACGAUGAUCACUAGGUGUCAGGGGGUUUCCCUUGGUGCCGCAGCUAACGCAUUAAGUGAUCCGCCUGGGGACUACGGCCGCAAGGUUGAAACUCAAAGGAAUUGGCGGGGGACCGCACAAGCGGUGGAGCAUAUUGCUUAAUUCGAUGCAACGCGAAAAACCUUACCCAGACUUGAUAUAGCUGCAAGCUCCCCAAAAGGAGCCGCUUUCGAAGGUGCUAUACAGGUGGUGCAUGGCUGUCGUCAGCUCGUGUUGUGAAAUGUUGGGUUAAGUCCCGCAACGAGCGCAACCCUCAUGUUCUGUUGCCAGCGAGUAAUGUCGGGAACUCUGAACAAACUGCCCAUGUAAGUGGGA
rnacentral:rRNA from 1 species